UACGUAGGGGGCAAGCGUUAUCCGGAUUUACUGGGUGUAAAGGGAGCGUAGACGGCAUGGCAAGUCUGAAGUGAAAGGCUGGGGCUCAACCCCGGGACUGCUUUGGAAACUGUUAAGCUAGAGUGCAGGAGAGGUAAGUGGAAUUCCUAGUGUAGCGGUGAAAUGCGUAGAUAUUAGGAGGAACACCGGUGGCGAAGGCGGCUUACUGGACUGUAACUGACGUUGAGGCUCGAAAGCUAGGGUAGCGAAC
rnacentral:rRNA from 1 species